UCUCUCUUCUGUUAAAAAUAGUUCCUCCAAACGUUGCAGGGAAAUAUUCGCAGAAACAACCUGGGACACAAAAGUAAGAUUGGAAACUAAAAGAUGACGAACAAAUGUUUGCAAGCACAGUUAUGAUAAAAUUGCGUGAGAAAGCAAAGUUUUAUAUUGUCAAUGUGCAUGAUCACCAUUAUAAAUGAACAUAACCGUAGUUAGUGAAGUUCCGAAGAUAGAAAGAACCUGAGACAUCAAGCUAGGGAGCAUGUCCAAAGGAAACCAUAGCACUGCAAAAAGAGAAAGUGACGUAAACGCCCUCGCUGGUGUCAAAUCCCCACCAAGCAAAGUGAAUGUCCCAAAUGAGACAACGGUUACGAUGACAGGGAUGCUGUUCAGAACAAAGCUGUUGAACUGCCACCAAAAUUGAACUCUCAGACAAAAAGAAAACCAUCUAGCAUUAUGGAAGGAGAAAAUGUCAUGUCCAUUAGCUCUCAUGCGCGCCUGACAAAAGGGGUCUAAAUCCAUUCGUCUACUGCUACUUGAGAAACAAAUGGAGACUAUUUUCAUUGCACUGUAAUAAGUCUGCUGAUGCGAAAACAGCCAGUAUAAGUCUAUGACUACUCAGCUUACAUGCAAUGGGGAACAGAGUUCAGACCAGAUGGAUAAUUUUAAACAGUAAACCAACCAUCUUUCUCGACUUUACACUAACUUAUUCUCAUGAUGUAUGAAAAGAAAUAGAGAAUUUGAAUUGCUUCAACAGGAGUACCUAUGAAAGAAUUACAACUGCUGUCUGCUUGGCAAGUUUACCACAGACAGAAAUUCAAGGCAGUUUGCUCCAUAGAUAGAGUGUUUUCACAAUUCUUUUUUAGCACAAGCAAUAUCAUGCCACUGAGGUUUUUUAAUC